rnacentral:rRNA from 1 species
AAACUAACAAGGAUUCCCCUAGUAACGGCGAGUGAACCGGGAAAAGCUCAAAUUUGAAAUCUGGCGUGCUCAGUGCGUCCGAGUUGUAAUCUAUAGAGGUGUUUUCCGUGCCGGACCGUGUCCAAGUCCCUUGGAACAGGGUAUCAAAGAGGGUGACAAUCCCGUACUUGACACGACGACCGGUGCUCUGUGAUACAUCUUCUACGAGUCGAGUUGUUUGGGAAUGCAGCUCAAAAUGGGUGGUGAGUUCCAUCUAAAGCUAAAUAUUGGCGAGAGACCGAUAGCGAACAAGUACCGUGAGGGAAAGAUGAAAAGCACUUUGGAAAGAGAGUUAAACAGUACGUGAAAUUGUUAAAAGGGAAACGAUUGAAGUCAGUCGUGACCGAGAGGCUCAGCCGGCUCUGCCGGUGUAUUCCCCUCGGUCGGGUCAACAUCAGUUUUGUCCGGUGGAUAAGGGCGGUAGGAAGGUGGCACCCUCGGGUGUGUUAUAGCCUGCCGUCGCAUACAUCGGGUGAGACUGAGGAAUGCAGCUCGCCUUUAUGGCCGGGGUUCGCCCACGUCCGAGCUUAGGAUGUUGACA